GCCAGGCGCGGUGGCUCAAGCCUGUAAUCCCAGCACUUUGGGAGGCCAAGACGGGCGGAUCACAAGGUCAGGAGAUCGAGACCAUCCUGGCUAACACGGUGAAACCCCGUCUCUACUAAAAAUACAAAAAACUAGCCGGGCGAGGUGGCGGGCGUCNNNNNNNNNNGGACUACAGGCGCCACCACCACGCCCGGCUAAUUUUUUGUAUUUUUAGUAGAGACGGGGUUUCACCGUGUUAGCCAGGAUGGUCUCGAUCUCCUGAUCUCGUGAUCCGCCCGCCUC
rnacentral:SRP_RNA from 1 species